rnacentral:rRNA from 1 species
GACGAACGCUGGCGGCGUGCUUAACACAUGCAAGUCGAACGCUGAAGCUCAGCUUUUGUUGGGUGGAUGAGUGGCGAACGGGUGAGUAACACGUGAGUAACCUGCCUCCUUCUUUGGGAUAACGCCCGGAAACGGGUGCUAAUACUGGAUAUUCACUGGUCUUCGCAUGGGGGUUGGUGGAAAGGGUUUUUCUGGUGGGGGAUGGGCUCGCGGCCUAUCAGCUUGUUGGUGGGGUGAUGGCCUACUAAGGCUUUGACGGGUAGCCGGCCUGAGAGGGUGACCGGUCACAUUGGGACUGAGAUACGGCCCAGACUCCUACGGGAGGCAGCAGUGGGGAAUAUUGCACAAUGGGCGCAAGCCUGAUGCAGCGACGCCGCGUGAGGGAUGGAGGCCUUCGGGUUGUGAACCUCUUUCGCUCAUGGUCAAGCCGCAACAAUGGUUGUGGUGAGGGUAGUGGGUAAAGAAGCGCCGGCUAACUACGUG